UCACUGCAACCUCUGUCUCCCGGGUUCAAGCAGUCCUCCUGUCUCGGCCUCCCGGGUAGCUGGGAUUACAGGAGCCCACUACCACGCCCAGCUAAUUUUUGCAUUUUUAGUAGAGAUGGGGUUUCACCAUGUUGGCCAGGCUGGUCUCAAACUCCUAAUAUCAUGAUCCACCUACCUCGGCCUCCCAAAGUGCUGGGAUUACAGGUGUGGGCCACUGUGCUCGGCCACAAAAAGCAAUUUUAAAUAGGAUGAUCAGGGAAAGUCUCAUUGAGAAGGUGACGUUUGCUCGAAAAUCUGGGGAUAAGGGAGAGCACCCAAACACAUAUCCGAGGUAGAACGUAACUGGUCUGCUCUUAUUUAGCCAGGAUGUCACUAUGGAAAGAGCAGAGUGGGAAGGCAGAGAGAAGUAGGAUGAGGUUGGAGAUAGAAACAGAGACCCAGGUUAUACAGGUCCUUAUGGGCUUUUGGAAAGACAUAGGCUUUUAUUCUGAGUAACACGGGAAGGAGUGACAUUAUCUGAUUUGUAUUUUAGCAGGUUGCCCUGGUUACUGGGUUGAGAAUAAAUGUAGAGAGUCAAGGCUGGAAUUAAAGGGACCAGUUUGGAAGAAAAAAAUCCAGGAGACAGAUGAUGGCGGCCUGAACUAGGAUGGUAGCAGUGGAGGUGGUGAGAAGUGGCUGGUUUUUGGAUGUAUUAUGAAGGAGAAAGAGACAACAUUUGAUAAUAGAUGAGAUGCAGAGUGAAAGGGAAAUAUUCCUCAAGGGUGAUACUAAGGUUUCGACCUGAACAAUGCUAUAUAUCUGAAGUUCAAGGGAGAGAUUCAUAUUUGCAGAGGAAAAGAGAGCAGAGAAUGGAACCCCGGGGAUUAGAGAAGGUUAUAUAAUCAGCAAAAGGAGACAGCAACUGAAUGGCAGGAAACCAGGGUUGCAUAGACUACUGAGAGUCAAGUGAAGGAACCGUUUUAAGAAGCAUCAGUUUUUUCAGCUGCAUCAAAGGCUGCUGAGAGGUUGAGCAAGGAAGCAAGACCAUGGGCUGAAAGUGAGAGGAGGGGAAAGGCAUUGGAGCUAUGAGAAGAGACAUCUUCCCUAAGGCUAUUGUGAGCAUGAAAUAAUAUAACGCAAGUUCAAAGCCUGUAACACAGGAGGAAGUACUUAAAAAUGAACAGCAGUGGAGCUGGCUCUCGGUGGCUAAGCUGCCCUGCCUUUCCCACCUUCCCUAUGGUGUGGCGCGCCUUUGUGUCUACGUUCUCCCCACAGGCUUGUGAGCAGAAGUCAUCCAUGCCCCCAUCAGGCCAGCGCAUAUAUCUUCUCCACUUGCUCCUCCACACUCUUCUCCUGCUUCCUACUGGUGAGAAUGGUGACCAGCAGAGCCACUCAGAAAGCCACAUGCUGAAGACAGAAGAGCUGCCAUCAGCCUGGGUCCCUGGCUAAUGGUGGGAGGAUGGACUCCAGCCAGAGUAAGGCCUCUCCAUACUUUCAUGCAAGAGAAACGUCAACCUGUAUACCAGUCAAGCCUCUGAGCUGUUACUUACUAAACAUACUUUCUUUUAAUGCACGGGGUUAACUGGUUUAACAUAUCCAAAGAAUAGUGGCCAAUGCUUCAACAUCAGCCUGGAAGGGGAACACAAGCAGCAUGGCGCAGGGCUCUGUUUUGAUGCUGACACACGUCAUAUAAGCAAUAGCUCAGGCAAGGCUGUGGAAGAUGUACUUCUCAGAUUUAAAAAUGACAUUAUGCCGUGAGGGAUAGCUGGUCAAAUUUUAAAAGAUUUCAACAAGUUAAAAAUAACAAGUGAUAUUUCCUAAGCAUUGAAUGUAAGCCAGGCUCUGGGUUAAAUGCUUUCCAAACAUGAUCUUGUUUAAUACUUAUGAUGAUCCUACGAUGUAGAAAUGUUACCUCCCUUUCCGAGAUGGGAAAACAGAAAUGUCAAGAGAUUAAGUAAGGAACUGGUAAAUGAUAGCACCGGGAUUUCAACCUGGAGCCUGUGGUUCUAACCACUUUGCUUAGAGUGGUCCUGGGUGUAGGUUUGUUUGGGAAGCCCUGGUUGUGUAUGUUGUCUCAAAAUAAUUGUUAAUAGUAACAAUAACACCUGCUUUCAGUGUUAAAAUGGUCACAAUUUAUAUGAUAAAUUAUAUGACCACUUUAGUGAUUCUGCGCAGUCUAAACCCUGUAAGAUAAAAUUCAAGAGAAAUCAC